GUUUUAAUAAUUUAAAAAAAAUAAUGAUUUUGUAAAUCAUAAUUAAGUAGAUACUUUUAAAACA
rnacentral:tRNA from 1 species